AGCGAAACAGUGCGGUCCCAAGAA
rnacentral:siRNA from 1 species